GGAAAACCAGAGGGCGGGCGCUGCAAGGGGCUCCUGUCCUUCCUGGAGAAGGCCGGUCUUGCUUAGUUGUCUGUGGUGACAAGCAGGGGUCAAGGAAGAUGGAUAGUUGUGGACGAUGCAGCUGAUGCUGAUGUCCCAGAAGAGAGGCCACUUGCUUAAACCCUCCAGGACAGCGCUGAAGGAGCCGGCAUCCCAAGCAGGCCCAUGGAUGCCACGGUAUCCGUCCUUUCUGUCUGUGGUUUGUUAAUAUUGAGAGGGGAAGGAUCGUCCAGGGGGGUGGGCAGCAUGAGCGUGGACCCCCUCAGCCCGGACACC
rnacentral:lncRNA from 1 species